GCGGUGCCAUGGCGACGGCCCGGGGGCGGCGGGCGCGGCGGGCGCGGCCAGGUAGGCUCCGGGGAGAGCCUGGAGGGGCGGGAAGCUGGGCGAGGAGGGUAUGCGGGCCUGCGCUGCGAUCGCGCAGCGCCUGCGUGGUUUCCAGGCGCUUGCUUUCUAGCGACUCCACGAUGCAGACCAAGUAAAGGGAAAGAGAAGACCUUUCUGGGGCCAACGUUCUCUAACGCGUUGACCGCUCACAUUCCGAAAAACCCUUGGACACUUCACCUCCACAGAGAAAGCCCAUCUGGAAGAAAACUAAGACAAGGGCCCUUCAAGGAGUACGGUCUUACUGGAACACUUUCACGCCGAUUGCUCAGGCUCCAAACCUCUAGCCUGUGGCUACUCUACGGGGAGGAGAAAGCCUGCCUUUUGGCUGGAAGUUUUAUUUAUUAAUUUAUUUGAGAGAGAGACUGAGAGAGAGCACAAGCAGGAGGCGCGGAGAGGAAGAAGCAGGCCCCUCAUGGAGAAGGGAGACUGACCCGGGGCUCGAUCCCAGGAUCCUGGGAUCACGACCUGAGCCAAAGGCAGACACUUAACCGACUGAGCUACCAAGGUGCCCCUCUAUAUUUUUUUCAGUUAAUACAUGACGAAUUCAACAGGAAAAUUAUUUUGAAACCUGGAAUAUGUUCUGUCGUAAAUGAAAAAGACUACUUCACCAGAGACUGGAAGGUAACAUGCCAAUUUGAAAACAGCGGGUUGGAAUGGUGGGAACACUGUCAUGGUUUAAUACUGUAUCAUCUCAUGGGACGUAAGAACAAAAUGUGGCAAGUACCAGGUGAAGUUUGUCCCCUUCGAUCCAAUGGGUCCAGCCUCGGUUCUUCUUCUCCCCCUUCUGGACACAGGUGAGUCUGUCAUUGUCCCAGGUGACCAGGCUCUGCAUGAGAGAGGGGAGAAGAGGCUGGUUUGCCCUGGCAGACUCCUCAACGGGUACUAAGAAGGCCCAGUUAAUCUUGCAAAAUCAAGAGCCUGUGUUAUCAUUUGAAUUUUUUUUUUUUUACCUUGCAUUUCCUGUUAUCCAGGCCUUUAUUAUCCUCAUCAAAUUCUUCUCCAACUUUAAAUGUAACAAAGUAGUU